UUGGAGGCUAUCCUGGAACCCGCUUGGUAGUCCAGGAUGGUCUUGAACUCACAGAGAUCCGCCUGCCUCUGCCUCCCGAGUGCUGGGAUUAAAGGCGUGCACCACCAACACCCGGCCUAGACAGGAUUUCUUACAGUUCACAAUAGCUAACUACUAGCUACACAGCUGGGGAUGACCUUGGACUUCUUACCUUCUGACUCCCAAGUGCUGGGAUUAUAGGGUGUGUACUAGUGUGUCAGACUUUUUUUUGUUUUUAAAUCAAGAAACUGCUUUCUGGCUUGUUCUCCUUAAGGAAUGGCUUCUUGUUUUUCUUGUAGUGAGUGGGAAAGACAAGAGGCUGAGGUAGAGUGAUUGCCUAGCAACUAGAAAAGAAAAAGAUGAGAUUCUGAAUCAUUGCAGUUGUGAAUUGGAAUCAUUCAUAUUUUUCUCUGCUGUUGUACGUAUUUUUUAGUUUGCUGCUGAUACAAGAUUGAUUGUAAAAUGAGUUGUGUUUACUUUCAGCUUGAUUUGGUUAAAUGCAGAGUGUGAAAUUUCAUUUUAUGGUCUGGAGAACUGGCUCAGAGGCUAAGUAAGAGCACUUCCUGCUCUUCCAGAGGACCCAGGUUCGAUCCCCAGCAUAUGUGUCAAGCGGCUCACAACCACUUGUAAUUCCAGCUGCAGGGGAUCUGCUCUUCUGCUCUCUGCAGGUAUCUGUUUGCACACGGCAUACAUACACAUAGAUAUACAUAAAUGAAAUUUUAGACAUACACCUCCAGAUAGCCACGCUGUAAUCGUCUUGUUUCUCUAGGUCUUCUUACCAAGGCACUACCUGGAGUCUAACUUCUCUAUGCUAGCACACGAAGCACACAGUAGAUGGAAAUUAUUUAUGCUGUCAAAGGACAGUAUUUUGGGUUUAGAAAAGACCAAGUUGCCUUUAGCUUCCAUAUCAAUACCCUCUGUGGAUAAAUACUAACUGUUCCUUCUGUAGUUAAAGAGCUUUGUGCCUCCCAGGAGGGAAGAAGAUGACUUGGAUAACUUGGAAGUGGGAAUGUCUUCCUUUUCUGCCUUUGUGGAUUGUGGAGAAAAGUGGGCAGAUGUAGGGUAAACACAUUCUGGAAUGACACGCCCCUACUGCUCUCGUCUGGCUGACGUUCUGUGGUUAUGGUGGGCGUUGAAUGGACUGAGGGACAGGUAAUGAUCAUACAGUAGAGGGCACUUGUCUCUUCCUCUUUUUCUCUGUGUUUGGGAAUCCCAUUAUUUUUUUAUAAUGUUGGGGAUGGAACCCAGGGCUUUACAUACGCCAGGCAAGUGUAUGGUAGAAGGAGGCGGCUGCCUGGGGAACCUGGGGAAUAAGGGACUCUGAAACGCUGUGAAAUGCUGUCUUCCCACAGCGAGGUAGAUGGGGAGGAGGUUAGUGACUGAGUGAAGGGUAGGCAUCGUGACAGAGGACUGUGUGAUAGGGACUCUUAAAGUCAGGACCAUGGGCACCAGGGAUGGGAGUACAAUGACAUCCCCAAAGAUGAGAUGGCUACUCCUUGCAGCAGAGAACGGUGAGGAUACAGAAAAAUACCAGCGUCUGAGGCGUUUGCUACACUUCAUCCAGGGUGUCCCUCUCAGAAGACCUUGGAGAAACACCUCUUCAGAGCAGCUACUCAGAGCAGUCCUGGCCGUUAGUAAGAUGGCGGAAGUCUGUCUUGGCUAAGGACUGGCCUUGACUGGAGACAAGGGGAAAUCGCUUCAGGCCUUAUGAUGAAAAGAGUCCUCAGGAAAGCAGCAGCAGUGACUGAAAGGCUAGAACUAUAGAGGCAUUUCGAAAUCAGGGCUUGGGCAUUACUGGUAAUGGCUGAUGGGUUUACACGAGGGUUGGAGGCCUGGAUUGAAAUGAGAUGCACAGACUGAUAAUUAGGAGGUUUGGGAAAGGGUCAUGUGGCUGAGCUCUGAGCCUGAAAACCUUUGUUCCAUGUGAUUGCUACAGCAGAGGACAGGAUGAAAACGUUUGGUCCAUGUGAUCGCCACAGCAGAGGAUGCUCUUAACCAGACAGGAUGAAAACGUUUGGUCCAUGUGAUCGCCACAGCAGAGGAUGCUCUUAACCAGACAGGAUGAAAACCUUUGGUCCAUGUGAUUGCCACAGCAGAGGAUGUUCUUAAUCAAGACAGGAUGACCUAUUCUGUGGACAGCAGUAAGCUGUUCUCUAUUUCCAGACUCUUGAUGCUUUUUCGGAAGGUCCAGACUGCUUGAUGCCUGUUUGGAGGGCUCAAGAACAGAAAGACAUUGAACAGGUAGAGGAUGGUGCCUGAAAUUUCUACAGCACAGACUUCUCCAGUAGUAAUUCUAUCAGUAGUAAUUUAUCCUGGGCUCCCCAGAUGGUGAAACCCCCAGGACCAGCCAGCUACCUGCCAUCAGGUUUUUAUUUUUUUGUCUUGUCAUAGAGACUCCUUCCUAUUGGACUGCCCAUUUACUCCCUGCAUUUGGAUUUGCUCUUUGCUGCUUGGAGUGUCAUUUCUGACGUCUAGAUAUCUUUAUGCUGUGGAAUUCUUGUCUGCCUCUGACCUUCAUGGGCAGGACUCAGAGUAGCCAGCUAAUGCCUGUGAUCACGACUGCACUUCAUGUAUUCUGCCUUUGGAGGCAGCCCCUUUACAGGCCUAAAAAUUAUUAAAAACAGAUUCAGUUGGAGGAUUAGAAAGAAAAAAGCUGCUGAGGAUGAUGGCAAGUUUGUUUUGAGACAAGGUCUGUGGCCCAAGCUGUGUUGGAACUCACCGUGGAGCCAAGGAUGACUUUGAGCCACUGGUCCUCUUGGUUCCCCCUCCCAAAUGUUGGUGACACAGGCAUAGACCACUAUACUUAUCAUAAAAGUUUUCCUUAUGUGGGUCUUAUCUAUUAAUAUUUACAGCAUAAAGUAAUUAAAAUUGGGAUGAUUAGGGCUACACAGAGAAAUCCCAAAACAAACAAAACAUUAAAACUGAAAUAUUGUAUAAUAAUUAUUGUAUUAUACUAAUUUAUUUAAUUAAUUAAUAUAUUUUUCACUAUGGAGUUACAUGCACUACUGUGUAACAAGGUCCUCUGAUGCUUACUGUGUAGUCCAGGCUGGCCUUGAACUUGAAACAAUCCUCCUGCCUGCAGCCUCUUGAGUGCUGGGAUUAUAGGUAUGAGUCCCCACCCACCCGCUCCAGCUCACCCCAGACUGGAGCUAGCAGUUGUGUUUUAGAUUCUAUAUAUAGUUAUUUGAUACCAGGUUUCAUACAGUUCAAGGUUAGUCUCAAACUCUCUAGCUGACAAUACCCUUGACCUCACCCUCUUCCUUCUGACUCCCCAUAUCCCAGGACUGGACUCAAAGGCCUGUGCCACCAUGGGCUUGGGGCAAGCAGUUCUUUAAAGAGGGAGGGAACUCUGUGAUCCAGUCAAUUUAUCAAUAGGUGCCAAUCAAUAAUGUACACUCAAAAUAGAGAAUGAAACUGCUGCCACUAUAGAUCCAGCCGGUAACACCUUCACCGUUUCUGCUUCGUUCCAAAAUGGGAUCGGAACCAAGUCUGUAGCUCGCUGUCUGCGCUCCUAAAACCAAGAGAACGUCUUUCAUUCUGCCCUUGUCUUUUAUUUGGGUAUUCGGAUCACAUACCCCCAGAGAAGGCCACGCCCAUUGGGCCAAGCUGCCCCAAUACAAUUGGCUGUCCGAUGGAAUCCCCACAGCAGUCAUUCCUGCUUCAACCUUUGGAGGCCUGGGUUUAUAGGUAUGGUGCUGGCCUCACAGGUGGAUCUCUGUUGUUCAAGGCCAGCAUGGUCUAUAAAGUAAGUUCCAGGGCCUCUAGGACAUCUCCAUUGAUGAAUCUUCAAAGCUGUCAAUGGGACAAGAUCAGGGGAUGCAGCCCUUUCUCUCUGACCAAGAGACCAUUACUCAAUUUGCAGAAAUUCUUUGUAUCUGUGGAAGGAAUUUUCAGGAUGAAUCAGUAUGAAGAGAAGUUGGAGUUUACCAAGAAGCAGUUUAAAUAAUUAUAUAUUUUGUGUGUGUGCACACGUGUGCCGUGGUGGUCAAAGGACAUUUGUGGGAGUCAGUGGAGAUCAAGUUCAGAUUGCUAGCUUCACUUGCUUAUCACCAUUUCACUGACGAUCAGAAGCAGCCUGAAUACAGAUGUGUGAGCAUGGGCAUUCAAGGAGACAGGCACCCUGGAAAAUGACAACAUACUCCCAAAUACGGCUUUGGACAUCCCAAGAGUCUGAGGUCCCUGUUUCCUUAGUUUUCACCGUCUGAAUAAUUGUGAAGCCUUGCAACUUUUGCUACUCUGGUGGGUUAGAAGUGCAUUAAAUAUGGUUUUAAUUUGUAAA